rnacentral:rRNA from 1 species
GACGAACGCUGGCGGCGUGCUUAACACAUGCAAGUCGAGCGGUAAGGCCUUUCGGGGUACACGAGCGGCGAACGGGUGAGUAACACGUGGGUGAUCUGCCCUGCACUUCGGGAUAAGCCUGGGAAACUGGGUCUAAUACCGGAUAUGACCUCCUAUCGCAUGGUGGGUGGUGGAAAGAUUUAUCGGUGCAGGAUGGGCCCGCGGCCUAUCAGCUUGUUGGUGGGGUAAUGGCCUACCAAGGCGACGACGGGUAGCCGACCUGAGAGGGUGACCGGCCACACUGGGACUGAGGCACGGCGCAGACUCCUACGGGAGGCAGCAGUGGGGAAUAUUGCACAAUGGGCGAAAGCCUGAUGCAGCGACGCCGCGUGAGGGAUGACGGCCUUCGGGUUGUAAACCUCUUUCAGCAGGGACGAAGCGCAAGUGACGGUACCUGCAGAAGAAGCACCGGCUAACUACGUG